AUGGCUGGCCUCCAUUUCAAGUGCUUCGAAGAAGGACACUUCAAGAAAGACUGCACCAACACACGGUCGUCUGCUACUGCUGCAAGCGGCCCGACCACGAGCCCAAGGAGUGCAAGCGCCCACGGAGCCCCUUGCUGGAGGAAGACCUCAUGCAGCAAUCUGUUGCCAAGGUCGCUCGCCGCGACCCGGUACCGCCUAUUUGCAGCCGGGCGGGGGCCGCACCCGUUCCGCCCCCACCACUGCUGUCGGCAGCUGUUGUACUCGCGGUCUGGCCGUGUCUCAUUGCCCCCGCAUGGAGAGCGUUCCGUUCGAGGAGGCGAGCCCGCUGGACCUCUAAAUCAUCCGGUGUUCGUCCAUCAUGGGUGA
rnacentral:rRNA from 1 species